GACGAACGCUGGCGGCGUGCUUAACACAUGCAAGUCGAGCGGAAAGGCCCUUCGGGGUACUCGAGCGGCGAACGGGUGAGUAACACGUGAGUAACCUGCCCUAGGCUUUGGGAUAACCCCGGGAAACCGGGGCUAAUACCGGAUAUGACCUGGUGCCGCAUGGUGUUGGGUGGAAAGUUUUUUCGGCCUGGGAUGGGCUCGCGGCCUAUCAGCUUGUUGGUGGGGUGAUGGCCUACCAAGGCGAUGACGGGUAGCCGGCCUGAGAGGGCGACCGGCCACACUGGGACUGAGACACGGCCCAGACUCCUACGGGAGGCAGCAGUGGGGAAUAUUGCACAAUGGGCGGAAGCCUGAUGCAGCGACGCCGUGUGAGGGAUGAAGGCCUUCGGGUUGUAAACCUCUUUCAGCAGGGACGAAGCGUGAGUGACGGUACCUGCAGAAGAAGCGCCGGCCAACUACGUG
rnacentral:rRNA from 1 species